rnacentral:rRNA from 1 species
CCUAGGGGUGGCAGCAGUGGGGAAUAUUGGACAAUGGGCGAAAGCCUGAUCCAGCCAUGCCGCGUGUGUGAAGAAGGCCUUCGGGUUGUAAAGCACUUUCAGUGGGGAAGAAAGCCUUGGGGCUAAUACCCUCGAGGAAGGACAUCACCCACAGAAGAAGCACCGGCUAACUCCGUGCCAGCAGCCGCGGUAAUACGGAGGGUGCGAGCGUUAAUCGGAAUUACUGGGCGUAAAGCGCGCGUAGGCGGUCUGAUAAGCCGGUUGUGAAAGCCCCGGGCUCAACCUGGGAACGGCAUCCGGAACUGUCAGGCUAGAGUGCAGGAGAGGAAGGUAGAAUUCCCGGUGUAGCGGUGAAAUGCGUAGAGAUCGGGAGGAAUACCAGUGGCGAAGGCGGCCUUCUGGACUGACACUGACGCUGAGGUGCGAAAGCGUGGGUAGCAAACAGGAUUAGAUACCCGAGUAGUC